UACUCCGCCCGUCUGCCUCCCUUUCUAUCCGUCUUGACUUGAGCUAGUGUAGUGCAACAUUGUGUCAAAACAAUCAACUGGGUCCCACCCAAAGCUGUGACAUUGUAUCAACUAGCCUAUUCCGGGCCAGCAGUUUCCUGCAACGAAAGCUGUUUUUGCGCAAGGAAAAAGUGUUCAGAGAGAAGACUGACCAGGCCCAGUACGACCCGUCCAGACCCAACUACCACCCGGUGGACCACGCCUGCUGGGGGUGGGGACAGAGGGUCCCUUAUUCAGCUGUUGCACGUACCUUUGAGAAGAUUGAGGAAGACUGGCAGAGGACCUGCUGAGCUGUGUUUACCUGUGUCUCAAUUAGUUGGGUCCUGCUUACCUGGGACUGGAGCUGGGAGUGGGAGAAACUGUACUGAUGAAAGCUGUUGCCCAAGCAAUUGGGUGACAGUUGGACAAAAUCAAGGCGGAGGCUGCAGAGAAGGGUGACUCGGGGUUGGUGGCGGAGAGUUCCCGUAGCAACCAGAGAAUGUUCCAGCCAGCCAAUCUGACGGCAGGGGGCGUGUUCAACAAACUGAAAGACAUCAGGAACAUGAGUGGGAACUCUGAGUUGUCUGUCUUUGUCUGUCUGAUGUUUACAUGAACAUCCUCAAUGUUUUUGAUACAUUUACUGAUUAAAAACCAGUCUUCUGCUGUCCAGGAAAUGGAAUGAUGAGUUGAUUUGUAAACAGUCUAGAAUUUGAUGAAAAGGC